rnacentral:rRNA from 1 species
AGAUUGAACGCUGGCGGCAGGCCUAACACAUGCAAGUCGAGCGGUAGAGAGGUGCUUGCAUCUCUUGAGAGCGGCGGACGGGUGAGUAAUGCCUAGGAAUCUGCCUAGUGGUGGGGGAUAACGUUCGGAAACGGACGCUAAUACCGCAUACGUCCUACGGGAGAAAGCGGGGGACCUUCGGGCCUCGCGCCAUUAGAUGAGCCUAGGUCGGAUUAGCUAGUUGGUGAGGUAAUGGCUCACCAAGGCGACGAUCCGUAACUGGUCUGAGAGGAUGAUCAGUCACACUGGAACUGAGACACGGUCCAGGCUCCUACGGGAGGCAGCAGUGGGGAAUAUUGGACAAUGGGCGAAAGCCUGAUCCAGCCAUGCCGCGUGUGUGAAGAAGGUCUUCGGAUUGUAAAGCACUUUAAGUUGGAGAAGGGCAGUUACCUAAUACGUAUCUGUUUUGACGUUACCGACAGAAUAAGCACCGGCUAAACUCUGUG